CAGCUUUGAAGUCCACUGGGUGACCUUCAGCCCAGUUACUCUCUCUCAUAGAGUGGUUUUGAGGAGUUCUGUAUAAGGAUAAUUUUGUACCAACCCUGUACCGACUGUGCCAGCAUGGAGCUUAACUGUGUUCCUUCCCCAAGGUGGUGGCUCAAAGCU